rnacentral:piRNA from 1 species
UUAUUGAUGGACCUUUGAGAUAAUCGGCAUGU